rnacentral:rRNA from 1 species
GACGAACGCUGGCGGCAUGCUUAACACAUGCAAGUCGAACGGAAAGGCCCUGCUUUUGUGGGGUGCUCGAGUGGCGAACGGGUGAGUAACACGUGAGUAACCUGCCCUUGACUUUGGGAUAACUUCAGGAAACUGGGGCUAAUACCGGAUAGGAGCUCCUGCUGCAUGGUGGGGGUUGGAAAGUUUCGGCGGUUGGGGAUGGACUCGCGGCUUAUCAGCUUGUUGGUGGGGUAGUGGCUUACCAAGGCUUUGACGGGUAGCCGGCCUGAGAGGGUGACCGGCCACAUUGGGACUGAGAUACGGCCCAGACUCCUACGGGAGGCAGCAGUGGGGAAUAUUGCACAAUGUGCGGAAGCCUGAUGCAGCAACGCCGCGUGCGGGAUGACGGCCUUCGGGUUGUAAACCGCUUUCGCCUGUGACGAAGCGUGAGUGACGGUAAUGGGUAAAGAAGCACCGGCUAACUACGUG